UUUAUAUUCAAAAAUGGAACUGAGUCAUAAUCAAUAGGUCACAUACUCUAAGUUUAUUUGCAUUUUUCCUUAAGGAAGCAGAUGAGGUAAAAUGAUAAAAAUGAUUACUGAGAAGGGAAUAUGUGCCUAGCGAUUAUGUCUGAUCCUCUUUAUGCUCCCAGAACAGUUCUUACCAUUGUGGAUGUUCUCUGCACUGCAAGAGACUGACUUCUACAGUUUAACCCAUUACUUGCUGCCGAGCUACAGGAGCACUUGGCCAAUAGGAAGGAGAGGGAGAAGGAGGAGGAAGAAGAGCCAGCAGGAGUGCUUGCCCUUCUGCUCCUUUCUGCUCGGGACUGCUGUUCCUGACACAGGCUAAUCCACCAGCACUGCAGCUCCUAUAUAAGGACCCCACUCUACGGCUACAACUCCAAGAAGCUGUCUGGCUGUCUGGGAGCCUAAUCUAUGUGCCACUUCCCUCUGCUGGUUCCUCAGGUCUGAGGAGUCAAGGAAGGCAGGAGGGCAAGCUACCUUGUACUGCCAGGCAGCUGCUCACCGCCAUUCCUUUUUGCUCAGCUUUAUCUUCCACAAAUCUUCUCCAGCACCAAAGCAGAUAGAUGAAGAGGCUGAGAAAAGCCUGCUGUGCUGAGCUCAGCUUGUCUCUUCCACAGUUCUGAGUAGAUCUGGACAUUCCUUUUGCAAAGGAGAGGGGUACCAUGAUGGCAUAGCAUAUGAAAUGAAGUAGACAAGAGAUUGGCGAUGAACAGACCAGAGGUUUCUCCACAACGAAUGUUAGCCAGUAAAGCCUUCCCAGCCUACAGUGGAACUGGCACUUGCUGCCUUCCCUAUGGAAAAGAAAGCUAACUGUUGUUGGCUGAUAGCUAAACAGACAUACUAAGAAUCCUGCCAACUACCAGAUCAUGACUGCUGUUUACUAUGACAAGUGACUUUCCAAUUUGGUGCCAUUUACAGUACUGGACUAUCUCUUCCGGGAGCUAACCUUUCUCAUCAUCUGUAAUAGCUGAACAUGUGUCAUUCACUAUCUUACAGUGUUGAAAUAUGUUAAUAGGAAUCUUGGUGCCAUAAACACAUUUACUGGCUUCAGGAAGCUAGUAAAUUCAAACAAGUGGUCCCUCUAAACUGUGCUAAUGGAAUGGCAAAUGGUCUUUUCUAACUUCGAUCUACAAGUGAUUUAUAGUUAUAACUACUAGAACUAUAAUAAUCAACAGACUAGGAAGGUGAAGGUACAGAUAAUAAAGCCUUGAGUAUCUCUUAUUAAAGGGACCACAAAGAGCUAUGAAGGCAAGCACUAAAAUGCCUUUGUAUUCAAUCUGCCAAAACAGAAAGAUACUAGUGAACACAGGAGAAGAAAAAGCAUGUAUUUUCCAUUGUAGAACUUUGCUAACAUUCUUUUCAGAAUUAAAUUUAAGGAUUCUAUGAUUUGAAAACAUCUUUAAAAACCAUGAGACAAACUAAAAAUGCAAAAAAAAAAUUUUUUUCAAAAAAAAAAAAAAGCUUUUUUUCACUGGUGCCUAACAGAACAUGGCUCCAGGGUGUAAAAACCUGUGCCUGAAACAAACUAGGAAAAGAUAGCUUCAAAGACUAGCAUUAAGUGCUAAAAUAAGAUUUUACAACCUGAGAUGUCUCUGUUGGCAAAGAUCUAACUAAACAAGACCCCUACAUACUACUUUUACAGACCAGUUUCUAGUUCAGAUUACAAUGAAAUUUUAAAAGCAAUGGGAAUGGAAGAGCCAAACAGACAACCCUACUGUUAACAGAAACGCUCUGAAAGCCUUAGGUAAACGAGGGUCAAGCGCACUGCACCGCCUCUCCAAACUUCUUGUGGUGGCAAAGCUGAAUGCUCAAGAACAGUGAGGGCCAUUUAAAAGAAGAGUCCAGGGCCUGAGAGGGCAUGCGACUACACCACAAGGUGGUAAUUACACAGUGAACACGUAAAAAAAAGUCCAGACUCAGGGGCUCCAAGAGGUACUUCAAAACCAGCUAAUAAUCAUGGCCAGGGACAGGAAAGUAAGUUCUCAAAUGGCUACAGGAGGGGCGGGGGUGGAAUAAAGACACUGGGCAGGAAAAAGCUGCCACCAAUUACCACAGUGACUACUAGAUACUAUUAUUCCAUACUGCCCUGUUUGAAUAUUUGUCGCCUCCAAAUUCAUUUGCUGAAAUCCUGAACUCUCAGGACUGCUGUUGGAAGCUGCUAUUAGGAGGUGUAAUACUUGGAGAGUGCAGGAGGGUUGAGUCCUUAGGGAUGGUGCAAGAGUUGUUAGAGUCAAUGCAAGGGAGCUCAGUCGCCCCUUUCACAGCGUAAGCAUGAAACCAGGGGGUGUAUCUUGAAGCAAGAAGCCUUCCUCACCCAGCCCUUACUAUGUGGACCUCUUGAUCUUGGAUUCCCCAGGCUGCAGAGCUAUGCAUGACUUAAAAAAAAGUUUCUGUUUACAAACUACUCAGUCCAACAUACUUGGUUCUAGCAGCCCAAAUGGACUAACACCAACAGCAGUGUCCCCACAAUCAGACGGGGACCUCUAGUAAAGAAGGCCAAACAUUAGUCUACCCACUUAGAGAAAACCAGCGCCAACAGUUCAUCAGUUAGCUCUACAAUCACCUUUACCAAGCCUGGUCAUCAAGCUGACUACCACUUCCAACAGUCUUGGGUUGAAGGGGAAAUUGUUCUUUCUACCAUAUCAUCAGCUGACAAACAGAGAACACUGGCUUUUUCCUGCCUUCUUAGGAUCAGGAAACACAGAAAAAUACUCAUGAAAAUACUACAAAUAAAAUCACACUGAAUGUGAACAGUA